AUUGAACGCUGGCGGCAUGCUUUACACAUGCAAGUCGAACGGGGUGAGAGGGCAACUUCUCAUUCAGUGGCGAACGGGUGAGUAAUGCAUCGGAACGUACCCUGUAGUGGGGAUAACGCCGGGAAACCGGCGCUAAUACCGCAUAUUUCUCUGUGGAGGAAAGCGGGGGACCUGUUAGAGGGCCUCGCGCUAUGGGAGCGGCCGAUGUCCGAUUAGCUAGUUGGUGGGGUAANGGCCCACCAAGGCUGCGAUCGGUAGCUGGUCUGAGAGGAUGAUCAGCCACACUGGGACUGAGACACGGCCCAGACUCCUACGGGAGGCAGCAGUGGGGAAUUUUGGACAAUGGGGGCAACCCUGAUCCAGCCAUGCCGCGUGCGGGAAGAAGGCCUGGUGUAACG
rnacentral:rRNA from 1 species